UAGGGGAAAGAAUCCUUGUUACUCACUUCAACUCAAUUUUUGAGAUCCAAUGAAGAAAAGUUUCCAUAUAUUUGCUGGGGCCACCCCAUUCCCCCCAGCCUAGCCAUUAUAAAGAGCCUAGAAACUGUAUCCACCACAUGGCUAUCAACACUGUUAGCUUGAAGCUUCUCGUUGACUCAACAAGCCAAAGAGUUCUAUUUGCAGAAUCUGGAAAAGAUUUUGUCGAUUUUAUGUUCAACAUUCUGUCAUUACCUGUUGGCACUGUUAUAAGGCUUCUCACCAAAGAACAGAUGGUGGGUUCCCUUGGAAACCUUUAUGACAGCCUUGAGAAUAUGAAUGAUACCUACAUUCAGCCAACAGCAAACAAAGACACCCUUUUGAAGCCUAUAGUUCCAGACAAUGCUGCAAAUGUUCCUCCCUUGUUGCCAACAGUCGAAUCGUCAAACUCAAAACCCACCGGAAUUUAUAGGUGUGGUAAUAAUACUUACCAUUUUAGCAACUGCCGUCUCUAUGUGGCAAAUGAUUCUAAAUCCAUUUGCCCUUCCUGCAAAAAUGUUAUGAACCAAAUCGCAACAGUUGUUAAUCCAAAAAAGAAGGAUUCACCUACUGAUGAGGGAGGUUAUGUGAAAGGGGUUAUUACAUACAUGAUCACGGAUGAUCUUGCUGUAAGGCCUAUGUCAGCCAUUUCUUGUAUCACUUUACUCAACAAGUUCAAUAUCAAGGAUGUGGGGGUUCUUGAAGAGAAAACCAUUGAUAUAGGAAUAGAUAAGGGUGUGAAGUUAUUGAAGGCAUCGUUGCAGUCCAAGACAGUGCUCACUGAUGCGUUCCUCGAGAAGAAGGCAGGCGAAAGUGAUGCUAGCAACUCUUCUGGAGUACAUUCAAUCGUGAUAUAGGACAUGCCGGUUGAUUUUCAGUUUGUAUGAGAAUCCUUUGAGCCUUCUAUGUAAUAAUGGUAAACCGAAUCUGGACAUGAUCUUGUGGCAAUUCACCUGGUUGUACAACAUUGUUAACACCCUUGUAACCAAUAAUCUAUUGUUUCACAGACUGUUUACUGUAUAUUCAGUGUUACUAGAAUAAAAUGUAUGAAAAAGUUAAGUACCAAAAACAUAUAUGAAAAAAAAUUGAAUAUGCAUAUGUACUGAUAUUCGGUUACUCACUGUCUGUAUGGAAACAAAUUAGAAUGAAAUAAGAAUUCGCCACGGUUAAAAAGCUGUAGAAAAGAGCAGAAUCCCACAUCAUAGGAAGAAGACAAGGAGCAUUCAACCAACUCUUAUAAAUCAAAGCGCAAACAGGGCAUAAAAAAAUAUGGAGCCGUGCGGUGAGCAUAGAGCGAACUAUUCUUUCGCCUUUUACUAAAGAAUACCGUGUGCUCGCCGUCCAGACUGGCUUACGCUUAUUUUUGGAGGCUUAAUUCUUUCAUUGGAAUGGCCCCUCAAAUUUUAGUUUAAUUAUUUUUAUAGUGUUCUUCUCGGCUCUAGAUCAAGGUUUCGCUCUUCACUAACAAAUUCUGUUAUGGCUUUUAUUUAUUUGAUUUUAACUGAGGCAGGUUUACUGAUGUCGUUUAUAUAGAGCCUGCACUGUUGAUUUUGUCUUCAACAUUUUGCCAAUGUCUG